rnacentral:rRNA from 1 species
CCUACGGGCGGCAGCAGUGAGGAAUAUUGGUCAAUGGGCUUACGCCUGAACCAGCCAAGUCGCGUGAGGGAAGACUGCCCUAUGGGUUGUAAACCUCUUUUGUCAGGGAGCAACGCCGGCUACGUGUAGCCGGACUGAGAGUACCUGAAGAAAAAGCAUCGGCUAACUCCGUGCCAGCAGCCGCGGGAAUACGGAGGAUGCGAGCGGUAUCCGGAUUUAUUGGGUUUAAAGGGUGCGUAGGCGGAAUGCCAAGUCAGCGGUAAAAUCGCGGGGCUCAAACUCGCUCCGCCGUUGAAACUGGUGUUUUUGAGGGGGCGAGGAGGUUGGGGAAUGCGUGGUGUAGCGGGGAAAUGCAU